AUAGAAAAGAUGGUGCAAGGCUUCUUGAACUGAAUAAGAUAUCUGUAGAAGAUGUAAGGGACCGCCAAGACCAGCUUGCUAAGAUGCGUAGUCUUCUUUUCCGUCAUGAAAUGAAGGCAAAACGAGUCAAGAAGAUAAAAUCGAAAGUGUAUCAUCGUUUGCUGAAGAAAGAUAGAUUGAAACAAGCAGG